CGGAGGGUGCAAGCGUUAAUCGGAAUUACUGGGCGUAAAGCGCACGCAGGCGGUUGAUUAAGUCAGAUGUGAAAUCCCCGAGCUUAACUUGGGAACUGCAUUUGAAACUGGUCAGCUAGAGUCUUGUAGAGGGGGGUAGAAUUCCAGGUGUAGCGGUGAAAUGCGUAGAGAUCUGGAGGAAUACCGGUGGCGAAGGCGGCCCCCUGGACAAAGACUGACGCUCAGGUGCGAAAGCGUGGGGAGCAAACAGGAUU
rnacentral:rRNA from 1 species